rnacentral:lncRNA from 1 species
AGUGGUCGACCUUCUCGCCGUCGAAGAUCCGGGGACUGCACCUCCUGAACUCGUUGAGGCGCUCCAUCAGUUGGUCCCGCUCCGCCGCCUCAACCAACAUGGGAAAAACAGCUCCAAUCGGGGGUGCCUGAACAGGUGGCGCCGCCAAAGCCUCCUCUUGAGGCGCGGCCACGGGCGCCGCACGCGACGAACUGGGCGCAGGGGACGGCGCUCUCGGCGCGACGUCCACAACUAGUGCUGGAGGUGUAGGGGCCUGGGUCUCCCUGGAAGCUGCCGCCUGUUGCAGAAGAAGGUCCUCCAGGCGCUUCAUCCGUGCCUCCUGUCGGCGCGCCGCAUCAGCCUGCUGUUGGGCCGCCGCCGCCUGCUGAGCCACGAGAUCAGUAAGGGUCGCAAGCUGGCUGCUCAACUCACGGACCUCGCCGGAUCUGGAGGUAGCGGAGGUCUC